ACGGGGUGCAGCAGGCGCGAAAACUUCACACUGGGGGAACCCCGAUGAGGGAAAUCCUAGUGCUAGGACAUUUGUUCUAGCUUUUCUCAAGCGUAGAUAACUUGAGGAAUAAGGGCUGGGUAAGACGGGUGCCAGCCGCCGCGGUAAUACCUGCAGCCCAAGUGGUGGUCGAUUUUAUUGAGCCUAAAACGUUCGUAGCCGGUUUGGUAAAUCUUUGGGUAAAUCGGGAAGCUUAACUUUCCGACUUCCGAAGAGACUGUCAAACUUGGGAACCGGGAGAGGCUAGAGGUACUUCUGGGGUAGGGGUAAAAUCCUGUAAUCCUGGAAGGACCACCGGUGGCGAAGGCGUCUAGCUAGAACGGAUCCGACGGUGAGGGACGAAGCCCUGGGUCGCAAACGGGAUUAGAUACCCCGGUAGUCCAGGGUGUAAACGCUGCAGACUUGGUGUUGGGGGCCCUUCGGGGGCGUCCAGUGCCGGAGAGAAGUUGUUAAGUCUGCUACUUGGGGAGUACGUCCGCAAGGAUGAAACUUAAAGGAAUUGGCGGGGGAGCAC
rnacentral:rRNA from 1 species